GACGAACGCUGGCGGCGUGCUUAACACAUGCAAGUCGAACGGUGAAGCGCCUUCCUUUUUGGUGGGUGUGGAUGAGUGGCGAACGGGUGAGUAACACGUGAGUAACCUGCCCCCUUCUUCUGGAUAACCGCAUGAAAGUGUGGCUAAUACGGGAUAUUCUGGGUCUGUCGCAUGAUGGGUCUGGGAAAGAUAUUGUUUCGGUGGGGGAUGGGCUCGCGGCCUAUCAGCUUGUUGGUGGGGUGAUGGCCUACCGAGGCGGUGACGGGUAGCCGGCCUGAGAGGGUGGACGGUCACACUGGGACUGAGACACCGCCCAGACUCCUACGGGAGGCAGCAGUGGGGAAUAUUGCACAAUGGGCGCAAGGCUGAUGCAGCGACGCCGCGUGAGGGAUGGAGGCCUUCGGGUUGUGAACCUCUUUCGCCAGUGAAGCAGGCCUGCCUCGUUUGUGGGUGGGUUGACGGUAGCUGGAUAAGAAGCGCCGGCUAACUACGUG
rnacentral:rRNA from 1 species